AAAGUCGUAACAAGGUUUCCGUAGGUGAACCUGCGGAAGGAUCAUUAAUGAAUAAAUUUUGUCGGGUUGUUGCUGGCCUCUAGGGGCAUGUGCACGCCUGACUCAAUUUUAUACCACCUGUGCACCUUUCAUAGACCUGGAUGUCUCUCGAGGAAACUCGGAUUUGAGGAUUGCCGCUGUCACAAGACUCGGCUUUUCUUUCAUUUCCGGUCUAUGUUUUUCAUAUACUCUUAAUGCAUGACCCUAGAAUGUAAUUCAUGGGCUUUAUUGCCUAUAAAUCUAAUACAACUUUCAACAACGGAUCUCUUGGCUCUC
rnacentral:misc_RNA from 1 species